rnacentral:rRNA from 1 species
GCGCAUGCAUAACUGCCAGUUCGAGCGAGCUUGGCCAAGAUGUUUUACGUGCUCUGCACUAAAUGAAACUAGAUACAAGCGAGCGGCGGACGGGUGAGUAACACGUGGGUAACCUGCCCAAGAGACUGGGAUAACACCUGGAAACAGACGCUAAUACCGGAUAACAACACUAGACGCAUGUCUAGAGUUUGAAAGAUGGUUCUGCUAUCACUCUCGGAUGGACCUGCGGUGCAUUAGCUAGUUGGUAAGGUAACGGCUUACCAAGGCAAUGAUGCAUAGCCGAGUUGAGAGACUGAUCGGCCACAUUGGGACUGAGACACGGCCCAAACUCCUACGGGAGGCAGCAGUAGGGAAUCUUCCACAAUGGACGAAAGUCUGAUGGAGCAACGCCGCGUGGGUGAAGAAGGGUUUCGGCUCGUAAAGCUCUGUUGGUAGUGAAGAAAGAUAGAGGUAGUAACUGGCCUUUAUUUGACGGUAAUUACUUAGAAAGUCACGGCUAACUACGUGCCAGCAGCCGCGGUAAUACGUAGGUGGCAAGCGUUGUCCGGAUUUAUUGGGCGUAAAGCGAGUGCAGGCGGUUCAAUAAGUCUGAUGUGAAAGCCUUCGGCUCAACCGGAGAAUUGCAUCAGAAACUGUUGAACUUGAGUGCAGAAGAGGAGAGUGGAACUCCAUGUGUAGCGGUGGAAUGCGUAGAUAUAUGGAAGAACACCAGUGAAUCACUAGUGAAU